rnacentral:lncRNA from 1 species
GCGGGGGGUGGAGGGUGGUUAAGACAGAACCCAAUUGUGUUCCUCUAAUUACAGAGUUAAUGGAGACGCUCCAAACAGAGGAUUAAGUGGAAAGCAGAGUUUUGCAGCAACCUGAGAUAUUAAAAGGAAAACCAACUGACAGAGCAGAAAAAAAGACAGCCAACUUACGGCAACGCGGCAGUAUUUUCCACCAAAAAGUCGCCGUUAAAUCCCCCACAAUUACUCACAGCUAUCGGGGUGCGCAGUGGCCGUGACACCCGUCUGAGCUGCACAUCACAGACACUGUAACUGCUGGGCUCACCUGAAUGUGUUCCCACGUGCCGUGCACUGCUGGCGCUCUCACGGCUCCACACAAUGCCUGCAUUUCACCCGACGUCGCGCUUCAACACCGUGGCAUGGCUGCAUUAGCUGCUGCUGGAGGACAAAUAAGGAAAGGAAACGGGAAAGGAGGCGGUGAGCAGAAAAGUAAAGCGGUCUCAAAUAAGGAAGCCCUUUAUUUUUCAUUUGUCUUUGAAGACUGAUGUACUAACAAUGUG